rnacentral:rRNA from 1 species
UGUAAGCGUAUACCAAAGUUGUUGCAGUUAAAACGCUCGUAGUCGGAAUUUGGCAGUUCCGGAUGUGAGCACGUCGUGUGCGCACUUCGCGGGGAUUGCUUUUGUGGUCUUGCGUAGGAUGAGGCACUUUUAUUAGUGAACGUCCUCACGCAACCACUUUUUACUGUGAGAAAAUCAGAGUGCUCAAAGCAGGCAUUUGCCGUGAAUGUAUUAGCAUGGAAUAAUAGAAUAGGACUUGGUUCUAUUUUGUUGGUUUGUUGGGACUGAGUAAUGAUUAAGAGGGACAGUUGGGGGCAUUUGUAUUUCGGUGCUAGAGGUGAAAUUCUUAGAUUACCGAAAGACAAACUGCUGCGAAAGCGUCUGCCAAGGAUGUUUUCAUUGA